UGCCGGCUGGGGACAUGGUGAGUGUGAAGCUGUAACCUUGUGCUAGGGCCGGAGCUGAAGUUUUUCCCCCAGAGCAAGGAAGGCUGCCCCUGGCAGCAACUGCAUCCCUUCCUUACUCCUGUUGAGAUUCAUUAUAUAGUAGGAAAUAGACAUCUAACUACCAUACAAGUUCAGAUCAAUGGAAGAAAAGAGCAGCAAAAAUUGAACGGAAUGAAUCCCAAAAGCAAGAAAUUAAAGAUGCCUUUAAUUUAUUUGAUGUCGAUAGGUCUGGAACCAUCGAUGUAAAAGAAGGAAAUACUUGAUGAAGCUGAUCAUGAUGGAGAUGGAAAAAUAAAUGAGGAAGAAUUUUCAAGAGUGAUGAAAAAGACUACUCUUUAUUAAUAGUGUUGUUUUGGUCCUUGUGGAAAAUUAACAAAUUUGUAUUUGUUAUAUAGUUUUGUACUUUAAUAUCUGAAUGUAUUCAUUUUAAGUUUUUAGUUUAUAUGUACACAUUGGCUUCUUGAUGUCUAAUCCAUGUAAGAAGUUACACAUCUCUACCAGUAUGUUGUUAAAUCUACAGCAUCAAGAAACAAAACAUAAUGACUUCUUUGAACCAUUAAUGCAAGAACAGUAUUAAUUCUACCUGCUCUUUUGAGAACCCUAGGUCACAAGGAGUUAGAAUUUUUAAGUUUGAUGAAGUUGGCUUCAUAUCCAAAUGAAUUUGGCAAACAAACCCUGUAUUUUCCUUUUGUGCAACUCAAAAAAACCUGAUGAACAUUUGCUUUUUAGUCAGUUACUCAAAUACGUAAAGUAUUAAAUGGAACUGUCUGGAAAUAUUAUUUGCUAAUUUUCUUCUUUUAGU